GGCUUAGUUGUUGUUGUUGUUAUUUGUUAUUGUAAGCUAAGCAGUCACUGCAAUACCGGCAAGAGCUUAAGUUGCAUAAGUGACGAGCAGUUUUUAAAUUGACCUAGAGGUCUUGCAGAUUGGACGAGUGUUAGGUGAUGAGAAGAGAUGACUAGAGUCAUUUGGAUUAUUAUGAUAAUGCCAUUCAAGCAUGUUUCUCACAUUGAAAAUCACCUCUGAUUUCUAUUCAUUUUAUUAACAUCUAUUUAAAAUAAACUAUAUAAAUAUAUGAAACAAAACAUUAUUACCUGUUGGAAUUCAUGUAUUUAAAAGAGAUUUAUGAUGUCUGCUUUAUUUUGGCAAUUCUAACUGGCUAGCUAUGUUGAUGAACAAGCAGGAUGUGAAAGCUAAUGCACUGAUUUGCAUGUGCAAGUGUGAUAUCGAACUGCUAGAUUUGAUUACUUUGGCAGAAUGC
rnacentral:misc_RNA from 1 species